AGCGAACGCUGGCGGCAGGCCUAACACAUGCAAGUCGAACGGAUCCUUCGGGAUUAGUGGCGGACGGGUGAGUAACACGUGGGGACGUGCCCUUUGGUUCGGAACAACUCAGGGAAACUUGAGCUAAUACCGGAUGUGCCCUUCGGGGGAAAGAUUUAUCGCCAUUGGAGCGGCCCGCGUCUGAUUAGCUAGUUGGUGAGGUAAAGGCUCACCAAGGCGACGAUCAGUAGCUGGUCUGAGAGGAUGAUCAGCCACAUUGGGACUGAGACACGGCCCAAACUCCUACGGGAGGCAGCAGUGGGGAGUCUUGCGCAAUGGGCGAAAGCCUGACGCAGCCAUGCCGCGUGAAUGAUGAAGGUCUUAGGAUUGUAAAAUUCUUUCACCGGGGACGAUAAUGACGGUACCCGGAGAAGAAGCCCCGGCUAACUUCGUGCCAGCCGCCGCGGUAAUAC
rnacentral:rRNA from 1 species